rnacentral:ncRNA from 2 species
AUUCGUAUCGCCGUUGCAGGUGCACCGUAUCACGCUCAUGAUUCUUAGCGGAUAUGGUGAUAAUAGGGAAGACGGGUGCGGAGCCGCGUGGCUCCAACUCCCGCGUGGUUGCGCCGCCGUAUUGGGAGACGCUCCGGUUCAUGUAACGAGGCCACUGUAGAACACGACACGUGUCGUGCGACGGGAAGGCCGAACCGGAUCGAACGACCCCUUAGCCGGACGACCUGCCUGCAGCGCUCAUCAAUU